GAAAAUACUUCUGUUUAUGUUUAUCUUAUUAUUGUUAAAUAAAAUACUGUUUGGCCAAUGAAACGGCAAGUUAGGCAGGACUAGGAGUCAAAGAGGAUUCUGGGAAAUGUAGUAGAGAAGUGCUGAUCCAGGCAGGAAGUGACAUAGCGAAGAUACUCAUAUUUAAGCGAAGGAGAAACAGGAAGGGCCCUCUUUUCCCCUCUGCUCCUGCUCCAGCAGCACAAUGUGAUCCACCAGCCAGGAGGGAUGCCAACAAGGCAUCUGAUAAGAUAAGUCUUAUAAAAUAUAUAGAUUUAUGAUAAUUAAGACUGAGCUAGCAGAUGAGAAUCCUAGUCAUUGGCCAAGCAGCAUUGUACCUAAUACAAAUUUCUGUGUAUUCAUUUGAAUCUAACUCGGGCGGGUGGCUGGCGUAAAGCUCCCACGUGGCAGUGGGGCUCAGUGGCUUUUGGCAGAAAGAUUUAUUGUAACAGGUGAGCCUCCCUUUAGUCAUUUUCUGUUGUGGUAGAAACACCAUAUUAAUUGUGGUUCAAAACUGGACUUUUGAGAGAAAAAGAUUCUAUUAAUAAUCAUGCCAAAUCCCUAAGCCCUCGGGAGGCUGAGGCAGGAGAAUCAAAAGGUCAAAGCCAACCUGGGCCACUUAGCAAGACCCUGUAUCAUUUUUUUUAAAAAAAGGCUGGGCAUAUGAUUCAUUGCUAGAGAACUUGCCUAUCGUGACUUGUGACUGAGUUCUCUCCCCAGCACUAAGAAAAGAAACACAAGUCACACAAGUCAACAGCCAUCAAAUAGAUGUAUCCCAGGCCAACCAAGGCUAUCUUCUGCACAUGCUCACCUGGUAGCUGGCAUGUACAACAGAGAUCCGUAGCAGAGCAGUAUAAGUCAAUUCAUCUCACCCACUUGGCUGAGUCUGACUUCAUCUGUAUCCUUUUGGCUAAUUCACACCAGAUUAUUGAUAGCCAAGCCCUCAAUGGUUUGCAUCCCACACAGUCACCAAAGGUUUCUCCUUGA
rnacentral:lncRNA from 1 species